rnacentral:rRNA from 1 species
UACGGGGGGUGCGAGCGUUGUCCGGAAUCACUGGGCGUAAAGGGUGCGUAGGUGGCGGGGCAAGUUUGGUGUGAAAUCCCGGGGCUCAACCCCGGAACUGCACUGAAUACUGCCUUGCUAGAGCACUGGAGAGGGAACUGGAAUUUACGGUGUAGCAGUGAAAUGCGUAGAUAUCGUAAGGAAGACCAGUGGCGAAGGCGAGUUCCUGGGACAGUUGCUGACACUGGAGGCACGAAGGCUAGGGGGAGCAAACGGG